UACGUAGGGUGCAAGCGUUUAAUCGGAAUACUGGGCGUAAAGCGUGCGCAGGCGGUUUUGUAAGUUUGUCGUGAAAUCCCCGGGCUCAACCUGGGAAUGGCGAUGAAGACUGCAAGGCUAGAGUUUGGCAGAGGGGGGUAGAAUUCCACGUGUAGCAGUGAAAUGCGUAGAUAUGUGGAGGAACACCGAUGGCGAAGGCAGCCCCCUGGGUCAAAACUGACGCUCAUGCACGAAAGCGUGGGGAGCAAACAGG
rnacentral:rRNA from 1 species